rnacentral:lncRNA from 1 species
AUCACAAUAACAUUAUCUUUUAUUAGAGAUCUUAUUUUACAUAUCCCCAUGAUAUAUAAAACCUUCCAAGAGAAAAAUAUCAAAACCUUCAGUUGAAAUCAGUUUAUUUCAGACAAUAUGAGCAAAUAAACCAAAGACAUUUAAGAUAAAGGAAUGUAAAAAAAAAAAAAAAUCCAUACAGGUACAACUCUGGUAUGGAAAGUAAUUAGAAGACUUAAACCCAUUUCCUACACAACAUUGUCUUUAAAAACAUACUGGAAGGAAGGUAAGGAUUCUUGGUUCUCUUAACCAGUAGUUAUAAACCCAGCAGCUUUAAAAUAGAUAAAAAUAAAAUAAUAUGAUUAAAUUAGGUGGCCAAUGCACAGAAAAAAACCAUGAACUUAAUUGAAAUAUCCAAUAUAACAAAAAUACAGCCUAAGAAUUUAUUUAAAAUUGUUAAAAAUAAAAAUAAUCCCAAAACCCAUAGCCAUCCACAUUCUGAACCAAUUAAAGUAAAAUUUAUUAUCAGACUUUGACUGGAGUUUUGGCUUAGUUAAGGAUUUCAUGAAAGGAUCCCAAAUUGUUACGCAAAAAAAUGCAAGAUAAAGGAACAAAGAUUAAAUCUGCUGGUUAAGGGAGGCAUCUUGAUUGUACAGCUGAUGAUAAAAGAAAAGAUUGAAUGUUAUAUGAAAUUUGUUUUGGAAGCAAUUUUAACAAGCAAAAUACUUUAAAACAUUAUUGUAUCAAGAGUCUACUUUUCUACCUAACAAAACUGAAAUAGUAUUUUGAACGUUCUCUUGUACAGAACACGUAAGUCUCUGAAGCAUUUCAAUUCUGAGGAUGCAACAAAAGAAAUGUUAUGGGAAUUUUCUGCUGGCAAGCCUACCAUGCAACGAAAAAUAGUAUUUUCAAAUACUACAGCUAAUAAAAGUUACAGUACAUGUUUAUUGCAUGAAAAUAUCCAUUUACUGGAUCUGUCUGAUUUUUCCAUUUGUGGUUAGUGGUUCUUAUAUUAUUAACCUGCACCAGAUCCUAAGUAUUCCAUUAAUUACAAAACGCACAGUAGAUUGAAUCAAGUAAGGAAAUCUACACAAUCUCAGAGAUCCAACCAGUGACAAUGCAUGAAAUUAAAGUUUCACUUUCGUUUUCUUUUAAGAUAGCCUGUAGCUACAUGAUAUAAUGUGAUACACUGUGGAACAACAAUGAUGAAAUUAAAUAACAGAGUUAUUUAAUAUUAUUAAUAUUUAAUAUUAGAGUUUGAAAAUAGCACAUCUUUUUACCAGGUAUGAUGACUUUGCAUGCAUUAGUAUGAAAGCUAAGCAAUGAUGUAUGGAGAAGUAAUGCAUAAGCAAGAGAUAGAAGAAAGUUGUGAAAAUAAACAAAGAUGAGGAAACGGAAUCAUAUGCAAGCGCAUGUUUAUAUACAUUAACUGUAAACAGCAGCUCUACUUUGGGAAAUAUUUUUCACACUUGAAUGGAUCCACCACUAAAUAUGAAUUAAGUGAAAACAAAGCAAAAAUGAAGACUCCAUUCUUAAGUAAUGUGAACACUGUCAAGGUGAACACUGGCAAUGUAAGUGAGGUUGCAAGUUUGAAAAAUCUUAAAAUAUAGGCACAUGAUUCUGAAUUAACAGGUCACCACAGUGUGUGACAUGCAAGCACAUGUUCUGCUGGGUUUGCCAACUAUGCCUUGCUUACUAUCAACUCUCUGCAUCAAACUGCAAUUUCUUUUUGAAAGCAGCUGAAUUUAGAUUUUAC